GAUGAACGCUGGCGGCGUGCCUAAUACAUGCAAGUCGAGCGAACAGACGAGGAGCUUGCUCCUCUGACGUUAGCGGCGGACGGGUGAGUAACACGUGGAUAACCUACCUAUAAGACUGGGAUAACUUCGGGAAACCGGAGCUAAUACCGGAUAAUAUAUUGAACCGCAUGGUUCAAUAGUGAAAGACGGUUUUGCUGUCACUUCUAGAUGGAUCCGCGCCGCAUUAGCUAGUUGGUAAGGUAACGGCUUACCAAGGCAACGAUGCGUAGCCGACCUGAGAGGGUGGUCGGCCACACUGGAGCUGAGACACGGUCCAGACUCCUACGGGAGGCAGCAGUAGGGAAUCUUCCGCAAUGGGCGAAAGCUUGACGGAGCAACGCCGCGUGAGUGAUGAAGGUCUUCGGAUCGUAAAACUCUGUUAUUAGGGAAGAACAAAUGUGUAAGUAACUGUGCACAUCUUGACGGUACCUAAUCAGAAAGCCACGGCUAACUACGUG
rnacentral:rRNA from 1 species